AGGCACAGAGCCAGUGCUGGGAGUGCAGCUCCUUUUCUCUGUCUGCAGGGACCUCAGCAGGGCAGCCAAGGGCAGGUUAGAGAAGAAACCUGGCAGCACAGGUCCCUCUGCUUCCUCCUGCACUGCCUUGGGCUGCUGGUGACCAGAGGGGCAAAACAAGAGGCAAACUGCUGCUGCUGAGCAGUGUCCAGGAGUUGGUGGCUCUCACUCCUUGUGCUCAGCACCACUGCUGGAAUUAUGAUUUCCUUUGGUAUAUGGUUCUUGACAUGAAAACGUUGUCCAGUUUUUCCAUGGCUGCAACAAUAAACUGGUUUGAACUGCCUCUCCAUGUGGCUGGAGGUGGCUUGGUGCUUUGGAGGAGAAAAAUCCAACACUUGUUCCCUGCUUACCAGGACAUAAAUGUGAAGCAAGACCAGACCUGGGAGGAGGUUCUGUGGUUCCUACCAGAAUAUGAAGCAUCAGCACUCCUGGGGUGGGCUGGGGCCAGUUCUUAAGCACAUCUGUCCCAGACAAUGUCGAAGGAUUGUAUUGUCUCCAGAGGCUUCUGUUCCAUAUUUGCACAGCUGCUCAGUGCAUGGCAGCCUGCCUGCAUCUGGAGGCUGCUGCAGGAGCUGCUCUGGAGGCAUUGCUCCAGCAGGGGCUG